UUGGGAAUCUUCGGCAAUGGACGAAAGUCUGACCGACCAACGCCGCGUGAGUGAAGAAGGUUUUCGGAUCGUAAAACUCUGUUGUUAGAGAAGAACAAGGACGUUAGUAACUGAACGUCCCCUGACGGUAUCUAACCAGAAAGCCACGGCUAACUACGUGCCAGCAGCCGCGGUAAUACGUAGGUGGCAAGCGUUGCCCGGAUUUAUUGGGCGUAAAUCGAGCGCAGGCGGUUUCUUAAGUCUGAUGUGAAAGCCCCCGGCUCAACCGGGGAGGGUCAUUGGAAACUGGGAGACUUGAGUGCAGAAGAGGAGAGUGGAAUUCCAUGUGUAGCGGUGAAAUGCGUAGAUAUAUGGCGGAACACCAGUGGCGAAGGCGGCUCUCUGGUCUGUAACUGACGCUGAGGCUCGAAAGCGUGGGGAGCAAACAGG
rnacentral:rRNA from 1 species